GUGCAGCAGCUGUUGCUUGUGUCGCCGCCUAGUCUCCAGUCUUGGUGCUCUGCCGGGGGUGCCCCAAGGAGCCAGUGCGCGCUGCGGGCUGGGAAGGAGGCGCCACUCAGCUGGUCCUCCUCCUCCUCGUCUUUCUCCUCCUGCUGCUGCUGCUGCCGCCGCCGUGGGUGCCGGGUCCGUGCGCACCCCAACACCCCCACUAGCUGGGCCUCGGGGGAGUCCCUGCCUGGCAAGCUGGGGCUAGGGGGAAAAGUUCAGCAGCGGGAGGGCCACUUGUCCCGGGACGGUUCCAGGGGAGCCGGCGCGGAAACGCGGACCAGGCGAUUCGGCCCGGAUGCCAGAUCCAGGAGAAGGGGACCUUGCUUGCCGUGUUCACCGCUGUAGCCCCAACGCCAAGAACAGAGCCUGGCCGUGAGUGAAUGACUGGCCGGGGUGCAAAUGGUUUUGAAGCACUUGAACCUCACAGGCAAAGGCUAAGAGUCUAAAUUCCAUCCCGCCCUCUAGGCAAACGUCGGGAGUUAUUAACAAUUUUAUCAGUUGAUUGGUUGGUUAGCAAGCUAUUA
rnacentral:sRNA from 1 species